UGUUGGAAUUUUUUUGUGAAAUGAGUUUUGAGAUCAGCUGGACGAAACGGUGUCUCUAGGUACUCUAGGGAAUGACUUGA